rnacentral:rRNA from 1 species
AGUGAACGCUGGCGGCAGGCCUAAUACAUGCAAGUCGAACGGCAGCACAGCAGAGCUUGCUCUGUGGGUGGCGAGUGGCGGACGGGUGAGGAAUACAUGGGAAUCUGCCCAGUCGUGGGGGAUAACGUAGGGAAACUUACGCUAAUACCGCAUGCGCCCUUCGGGGGAAAGCCGGGGACCUUCGGGCCUGGCGCGAUUGGAUGAGCCCAUGUCGGAUUAGCUAGUUGGCGGGGUAAAGGCCCACCAAGGCGACGAUCCGUAGCCGGUCUGAGAGGAUGAUCGGCCACACUGGAACUGAGACACGGUCCAGACUCCUACGGGAGGCAGCAGUAGGGAAUAUUGGACAAUGGGCGCAAGCCUGAUCCAGCCAUGCCGCGUGAGUGAAGAAGGCCCUCGGGUUGUAAAGCUCUUUUGUCCGGAAAGAAAAGCAUCCAGUUAAUACCUGGGUGUCCUGACGGUACCGGAAGAAUAAGCACCGGCUAACUUCGUGCCAGCAGCCGCGGUAA